rnacentral:tRNA from 1 species
AGUUCCGUAGUGUAGUGGUUAUCACGUUCGCUUCACAUCGCUGAAAGGUAUCCGGUUCGAUCCCGGACGGAACCA